AUCGCUUCUCGGCCUUUUGGCUAAGAUCAAGUGUAGCAAUACCAUAAAUUAAACUAAAGUAUAUUAUCCUAAGCAAAAUUAGUUAGAGAAAGACAAAUAUCAUAUGACUUCAUUCAUAUGUGGUAUUUAAGAUAU
rnacentral:snRNA from 1 species